CGGAACGGGUGAGUAAUACAUGAGCAAUCUGCCCACAAAGACUGGGAUAAUUUCUGGAAACGGGGACUAAUACCGGAUAGGUAGAGAAGAGGCANCUUUUUCUAUUAAAGAUUAAAAGCACUAGUGGAUGAGCUUAUGGCGCAUUAGUUAGUUGGUGAGGUAACGGCUCACCAAGACGAUGAUGCGUAGCCGGCCUGAGAGGGUGAACGGCCACAUUGGGACUGAGACACGGCCCAGACUCCUACGGGAGGCAGCAGUA
rnacentral:rRNA from 1 species